UGACAGUACUCCUACGGGAGGCAGCAGUGGGGAAUAUUGCACAAUGGGGGGAAACCCUGAUGCAGCCAUGCCGCGUGUGUGAAGAAGGCCUUCGGGGUUGUAAAGCACUUUCAGCGAGGAGGAAAGGGUGUAAGUUAAUACCUUACAUCUGUGACGUUACUCGCAGAAGAAGCACCGGCUAACUCCGUGCCAGCAGCCGCGGUAAUACGGAGGGUGCGAGCGUUAAUCGGAAUUACUGGGCGUAAAGCGUGCGCAGGCGGUUUGUUAAGCGAGAUGUGAAAGCCCCGGGCUCAACCUGGGAACCGCAUUUCGAACUGGCAAACUAGAGUCUUGUAGAGGGGGGUAGGAAUUCCAGGUGUAGCGGUGAAAUGCGUAGAGAUCUGGAGGAAUACCGGUGGCGAAGGCGGCCCCCUCGGACAAAGACUGACGCUCAGGCACGAAAGCGUGGGGAGCAAACAGGAUUAGAUACCCUGGUAG
rnacentral:rRNA from 1 species